UACGGAGGGGGCUAGCGUUGUUCGGAAUUACUGGGCGUAAAGCGCGCGUAGGCGGACCUGCAAGUCGGGGGUGAAAGCCCGAGGCUCAACCUCGGAACUGCCUUCGAUACUGCGGGUCUCGAGUCCGGGAGAGGUGAGUGGAAUUCCUAGUGUAGAGGUGAAAUUCGUAGAUAUUAGGAAGAACACCAGUGGCGAAGGCGGCUCAGCUGGCCCGGUACGGACGCUGAGGCGCGAAAGCGUGGGGAGCAAACAGG
rnacentral:rRNA from 1 species